rnacentral:sRNA from 1 species
GCUUUCUAGACACUGUCCAGACCCCAAGACAGAGGAUCUAAGGAGCAGGACUCGACCCACGAUCACAAGGCUGCGGUGAUAAAGGGCUGGGGGUUAUGGGAAUAAGCACAGGUGGACGACGUGGAGACACGCGGGCCACGUGGCGUGGGGCCUGCUGUUGUGAGCGUGGCUUCAGUAGUGUCUCUUUUAAAGGCCUCUCACCUGGUCUCUGUGGCCCUAUUCGGCCGGUUUGCAACUUUUCUGGCUCUGUGAGGAGAGCGUAGAAGACUCACAGUAGGGCAAAAGAGACAGGUCUUUGAUCUGUUGAACGAGAUUAGUGACUACCCAGCAUUGGAUUACUGUACGAAUAAAAUUAGAAAAUUCAUAUGCAGUGGCCAGCUCUUAAGGACUCAGUGAUAGUUGUUGAAAUUAAAACAAUAUUUUUGCAAGAGUGUUGCUCAAGUCUUAGAGUGGACAGUGAAGAGAAUAUUCUGAGUAGCUACUGGGGAAGGCUAUUUAUCGAUAUGCUUUUAUGUCUGUUCUACUUCGAUGGGUGAUCUGGGAGAGUCUGCUUUUCCAAGUCUCUUUACCUCACAAAGUUUCAAGAGAAAGGAAGAUACAAACCUGGGCAUGGCUAACACAUUGGCUGUGGACAGAUCUCACUCGUGAACCUGGCAAAGCAGCAGGGGCCUUGGAUUUGUGGAGGGAGCUCUGUGGAUUCUGGCACCUGGAAUUUAAAUGACUGUUAGUUUUCUUUACUUAUCUGUUGUCCCUCUUCCAUAAAAGCAUCCUAGACUGGGUUAAUGAGUGAAUGUUAAGCCAUGUAAUUUCUGAUUUGGAAUUCCUUUUUUGUAGACCAGGCAGAAGAUGUGAAACAAAACAAAACAAAACAACAAAAUAAAACAAAACCAACUCAGACUGACCAGAAAUAAGGAGCCUACUUGUCUUUGUCUCUUAACUGUUGAUGUCCAUGAAGCUAGACAGUUGCACAUGUGCCCAACACACUCUGACUUUGCCUUUGAGGU